CCUACGGGUGACAGCAGUGAGGAAUAUUGGUCAAUGGACGAGAGUCUGAACCAGCCAAGUAGCGUGAAGGAUGACUGCCCUAUGGGUUGUAAACUUCUUUUAUAAAGGAAUAAAACGAGGCACGUGUGCCUUUUUGCAUGUACUUUAUGAAUAAGGAUCGGCUAACUCCGUGCCAGCAGCCGCGGUAAUACGGAGGAUCCGAGCGUUAUCCGGAUUUAUUGGGUUUAAAGGGAGCGUAGAUGGGUUGUUAAGUCAGUUGUGAAAGUUUGCGGCUCAACCGUAAAAUUGCAAUUGAUACUGGCAGUCGUGAGUACAGUUGAGGUAGGCGGAAUUCGUGGUGUAGCGGUGAAAUGCUUAGAUAUCACGAAGAACCCCGAUUGCGAAGGCAGCUUACUAAACUGUGACUGACAUUGAUGCUCGAAAGUGUGGGUAUCAAACAGGAUUAGAUACCCUAGUAGUC
rnacentral:rRNA from 1 species